rnacentral:rRNA from 1 species
UACGGGGGGAGCAAGCGUUGUUCGGAUUUACUGGGCGUAAAGGGCGCGUAGGCGGCGCAACAAGUCACUUGUGAAAUCUCCGGGCUUAACCCGGAGCGGCCAAGUGAUACUGUCGUGCUAGAGUGCGGAAGGGGCUACUGGAAUUCCUGGUGUAGCGGUGAAAUGCGUAGAUAUCAGGAGGAACACCUGCGGUGUAGACGGCUUACUGGACCAUAACUGACGCUGAGGCACGAAAGCGUGGGUAGCAAACAGG